CGUGUAGGCGGUCGGUUAAGUCUGAUGUGAAAGCCCGGGGCUUAACCUCGGAAGGGCGUUGGAAACUGGCCGACUUGAGUUCGGGAGAGGGAAGCGGAAUUCCGGGUGUAGAGGUGAAAUUCGUAGAUAUCCGGAGGAACACCGGUGGCGAAGGCGGCUUCCUGGACCGAAACUGACGCUGAGACGCGAAAGCGUGGGGAGCAAACAGGAUUAGAUACCCUGGUAGUCCACGCUGUAAACGAUGGGCACUAGGUGUGGGGGGUUUUUAAUCCCUCCGUGCCGCAGCUAACGCAUUAAGUGCCCCGCCUGGGGAGUACGGCCGCAAGGUUAAAA
rnacentral:rRNA from 1 species